GGUGAAAUGCUGUAUCUGGCUCCAAUCAAACCAUUUUUACAUCCUUUAUUGUUUUUAGUUUAGGUUAGUGAUAGCUCUGUUUUCCUGGUGCUGAGUGAGGGUUUGAAAAACCAGAGUUCAUUUCUGAAACUAAGAACGGAUCAACCUGCCACACCAAUGACCACCUGAGGGCGCUGCUGAGCCAUUAACUACAUGGUAUGACUGAUCUUGCGCUUCAGUCGACCAGAGGUGGCAAAAGUAGAGACAUUCUGUACUUAAGUAGAAGUACAGAUGCUAGUGUUAAAAAUACUCCAGUACAAGUUAAAGUACUGAUUCAACUUCUUUACUCAAAGUGAAAAAGUAGCUCUUUGGAGCACGCUUCUAUGUUUGUGCAAAGCUAACUGAACCUUGUCCUACAUUAAAGUAAAAAAUAAUAUUAGUGCGUAUAAUACUGACUUUAUUUCAGUCUAAAUUUAAUUUUCUAAUCAAGGUACUCAGCUUGAAUCAGGUAAGUAGAACACCAGCAAAGAUGUUGCCUCUAAACAGGAACAUGAGUAGGGAAGAGGUUCAGUGGAAUUCAGCAGGUGGGGAACGCAUAAAGUCAGCUGUAGUGGCUCAGUGUGGGGAAAAGAAUCACAACUCACAAUCAUUUCUAUUGAGAGCUCCAGUUUUUUUGUUUGUUUUUUUUUUAGUCUACAAGUUGUGGUCAGCUGGCCUGCUUGUCAGCAGAUGCUUCAUGAGUUGUCCUGGCUGAUUUCCAUCCUUUUCACUGACAGUACACUGUGUAUGCUGUCUUUAUACUAGACAGUAUACAGUUGGUAUGAAGGUCGAAUUCAGUAAAUGAAUCUCAGCAUCAUCAUCUUGAUUUUAAAUUAAUCUCUGCUACAUUUGGUGUAAGCUGCCUCUCACCAUGGAACUGCAGCCACUGUGCACCAGUCACACACACUGUUCUCUCCUUUUUUUACUGUUUGGCCACUAGAUGGACACGUGGGACUCCAAGUGGCUCAGAAUCAUACACAGCAGUAAAUGUGAAACUGCAGCUCAAUCUGCUCAGUCACUGAAAUGUGUUGCAAUUAAGUAAUCCACAUUUCCAUUUACUGUUGAUGGUGAUUUAUGUUACUUUUUAAUUCAGUAGGUUUGUUAUGAUAUCUCAGAAAUGCUAAUCCUACGAUAACAAAUAAAAUAUAAUCUAUAUGGUAACGUGAUAGUCACGAGCCUUGAAGCCAGUCAUGAGCGAGCCUCUUAUUUUUAUCAUACCAUUAGACAUGAACCUAAACAGGAAGUCAUUAACAGGCAAGCAACAUUUAAACUCAAAGCCUCUGCACAGUAGACACACUGUGUAAGCUGCACCCCUCUGGUACAGGUCAGGCAUCCUGGGUUUUUUGUCAGACAGGUUCUGUAUGAUAUGUUCAUUUCAGAAUAUUUUCUUUAACCAUAAACCACAGUAAUUCCAACCUGGUUCUGUCAUGGUCCUGGUCUGGUGACCCAGUCCAU
ensembl:lncRNA